rnacentral:rRNA from 1 species
GCGGGCGUAGCAAUACGUCAGCGGCAGACGGGUGAGUAACGCGUGGGAACGUACCUUUUGGUUCGGAACAACACAGGGAAACUUGUGCUAAUACCGGAUAAGCCCUUACGGGGAAAGAUUUAUCGCCGAAAGAUCGGCCCGCGUCUGAUUAGCUAGUUGGUAGGGUAACGGCCUACCAAGGCGACGAUCAGUAGCUGGUCUGAGAGGAUGAUCAGCCACAUUGGGACUGAGACACGGCCCAAACUCCUACGGGAGGCAGCAGUGGGGAAUAUUGGACAAUGGGGGCAACCCUGAUCCAGCCAUGCCGCGUGAGUGAUGAAGGCCCUAGGGUUGUAAAGCUCUUUUGUGCGGGAAGAUAAUGACGGUACCGCAAGAAUAAGCCCCGGCUAACUUCGUGCCAGCAGCCGCGGUAAUACGAAGGGGGCUAGCGUUGCUCGGAAUCACUGGGCGUAAAGGGUGCGUAGGCGGGUCUUUAAGUCAGGGGUGAAAUCCUGGAGCUCAACUCCAGAACUGCCUUUGAUACUGAAGAUCUUGAGUUCGGGAGAGGUGAGUGGAACUGCGAGUGUAGAGGUGAAAUUCGUAGAUAUUCGCAAGAACACCAGUGGCGAAGGCGGCUC